CACGUAGGGGACGAGCGUUAUCCGGAUUCAUUGGGCGUAAAGCGCGCGUAGGCGGCCCGGAAAGUCGGAUGUGAAAACCUGGGGCUCAACCCCAGGCGUGCACCCGAUACUCCCGGGCUGGAGGCAGGUAGGGGAGAUCGGAAUUCCUGGUGUAGCGGUGAAAUGCGCAGAUAUCAGGAAGAACACCCGUGGCGAAGGCGGCUCUCUGGGACGGUACUGACGCUGAGACGCGAAAGCGUGGGGAGCGAACAGG
rnacentral:rRNA from 1 species